CGUCUCUCUCUCCACGAGCCGGAGCGCAUCUUUGUGCUCUAAUUUUUUUUUUCCAGUAAGGAGAUAGAGAAAUUGAUGAUAUUGGUAGUCUUCAAGGUAUUGGUUUUCUCAUGGCUGGAGCAGACUAUAUAACGAUUGAUGCUAUUGAAGGUCAGCAAGUCCCUUUACGCGCAUUGCGUUCAAAUGUCGUGAAGUUGUUAGAGGUGGAACAGAGAAGCGAUGCAAUAGACUUUGAGAUACUUGACUUGGAACUAUGAGGGCACAAGGUCAUAUCUGAACUAGACCAGAAUAUGGCAUUCACAGGAGGAAUUAGCAUGUACCUAACCACCAAAAUACCGCCUUUGCCAUCUCUAUUCUAUUGAUGUGCUUAUUUUUGGCAUUAUCGUUCAUUCACGUCAGCAUGGCAAAUUCAAGGAUUACAGGUAUGAAUAUGAUCAUCAAGAUUUUGACGAAAAGACAUAAAAAGGUGAGAGUCGACGCAAGAAGUCUAAUGGAAUUGGAAAAAAGCAUGAAUAGAAGGCUAGCAGCAAAUGUUGUGGAUAACAUUGAAGAUCCUGUCGUGAAAAUGGAGUCUUUUGUUGCCGGAACUAAGACUACAUGUGCUACAGAUUCUUCUGACUUUGAGAAAUUUUCGUCUUGGUCGAUUGGAGGUAUCUACAUUCCUGUUGUGCUGCUCAUGUCAUAUUUCAACUAUUACUACGUUACAGGACAGGAUUGCGCGUCUCCAAACAAGCUGUCUUUUGAUGUAUGAGAUGUUCAAGUUCUGCAUCAGUUCUAGUCGUAGUGACAGCAGAUCAGCAGUUUCAUUAGAUGAGAUAUAAAUACUUUUGUCGUGACAGUGAUCUUUGCUUUUUGCUGAAAAAUGCAAAACAUUAUCAUAUCAAUUGCUGUUUGAUGGGGGUUGGGUAUUGGGGUUUGACUUAUCAGCCUGAUUCUCGACUGUUAAUACAGCUAAUGUCAGCAUGUGACGGGUGUUUAUGCUUUUGCCUGCUUUUGUUCUAAAUAAAAGCCUUCAACUCCCGAAAA